AGCCUGAAACAUGUCAACAAAAAAAAUUAAAUAGAAGAAAACGUUCACCUAACUGCAACCAAAUCCCAAAAUAACAUUAGUUUUCUUCACAGAAACAGUGCUCCUGGCGGCUGACCAGCCAGGAGAUAGCCCUCCCUCCGAGAACACCUCUCGCCAUGACGUCUACUCAUACUGGACGUCCCAGAUCUGACCCUUGACUUACCAUAUUUUAUCCCAUCCCCACCACCUUUUUAAUAGGGCUUUAAGCCGAAGACAUUUUUAUCUUUUCAGGGCUUAACGGCGGGCACCCAGAGUGUAGAACCUUGACGGCAGCUUGUGACUAAGGCUUUUUCCCAAAACGUAAGUAUGUACGAAUUAGUUCGUGUUUCAGCUUUUUAAUUAUAUUCCUCGGUCAGAAUGUAAAUAAUAAUUUUCUUGCUUUCAAUUCCAGAUGAGGACGAACAAAGGAAUGUAGGUCGAUACCACAUUAAAUCGACGAUCUAAACAAUGCCUGGUAACCUAACCUUGAAUUGAGCUCAGUUCAAUGUCGCGUACCUGCAUACCAACACAAAGAAAAACCGCGGAAUUUAAUUAUGUAGCUUAGUCGUCCGUCUGUCUGUCCGGAGUUAAAUAAGUUUCAGUGUCAAUUGGGAAUGAUACCAAGCCACGCUGGAGCAGCAAUGGCGUAAACUCUGCGCCUCCCUCGAUGGAUUGGAUGGGCGAUGGUGUGGCUUGUAGGCUCCAAUUCUUCAUGAAUUUUUAGGUUUAAGAUUUAUAUUCAUUGCUUUAGAAUUUUAGUCAAUUGUUGGGGUUUUUUUUUCAAUAUUGUUAAAUUGUUUUCAAACUUUGUUUAAUUUUAAAAAAAGUUCAAUUUUCUUUUAAUUUUCAAUUUUUUGAAAACUAUUUGUUUUGUUAUAAAUUUCCUUUCAAUUUUUAGCCUUUUUUUCGUUUAAUGUUGCUUAAUUAUUUAAAGGCUUCAGAUUUUCUUUAAAAUAGUUUGUAUUUUGUGUUGUUUGUGUAUGUGUUUCAACAAAUAAACCAGAUGAAUUCACUUCUCAAAAACUUUGGUUGUUUUUUUUUCUUCGACGGUUACAGGGAGCCACGCAUCCAAUCUUCUUCGCAGGCAAAAU